rnacentral:rRNA from 1 species
GUGCCUAAUACAUGCAAGUCGAGCGGACAGAUGGGAGCUUGCUCCCUGAUGUUAGCGGCGGACGGGUGAGUAACACGUGGGUAACCUGCCUGUAAGACUGGGAUAACUCCGGGAAACCGGGGCUAAUACCGGAUGGUUGUUUGAACCGCAUGGUUCAAACAUAAAAGGUGGCUUCGGCUACCACUUACAGAUGGACCCGCGGCGCAUUAGCUAGUUGGUGAGGUAACGGCUCACCAAGGCAACGAUGCGUAGCCGACCUGAGAGGGUGAUCGGCCACACUGGGACUGAGACACGGCCCAGACUCCUACGGGAGGCAGCAGUAGGGAAUCUUCCGCAAUGGACGAAAGUCUGACGGAGCAACGCCGCGUGAGUGAUGAAGGUUUUCGGAUCGUAAAGCUCUGUUGUUAGGGAAGAACAAGUACCGUUCGAAUAGGGCGGUACCUUGACGGUACCUAACCAGAAAGCCACGGCUAACUACGUGCCAGCA